UCUCAUGAUCAGUUGGUGAGAAAUGCAUGUGUCCACAAAUAUCAAAAUGGUAGAGCCCAGCAAGACUUUUAAGUCUCCUACUGUCCUGAGAGUUAAGGAAGCUAUAUAGCUCCUCUGUCAGUCUCUGCGUGCUAUUGCUGUCUUGUUUUGCAAAUCUGCAUUCAUCAUCUCCUUCUCCUUCUACCUACGAGAGAAGCUCUGUGCCUGGUUACACAAGGAAACUAAGAUGGCAGUAGAUUCUGUGCUUACUUUUGCGACCGAGCGAAUACUGACGAAGCUGACUGACCUUGCUGCUCAAGAAAUCAGUCUUGCCUGGGGAUUCAAAGCUGAACUAAACAGGCUUCGCAAAACACUGUCCACCAUGGAAGGUUACUUAGCCGACGUUGCCCAGGGACCACAAGGUCGGAGCAAGUCCGUAGAAGAUUGGGUGACGAAUCUUAAACGCCUAGCUCAAGAUGCAGAUGAUGUCUUGGAUGAAUUCAACUAUGAACUUCUCCGGCGCAAAGUAGAAAUCCGAAAUCAUAUGAAGAAAAAGGUACUCAACUUCUUUUCAAUCUCCAACCCGGUCGCAUUCCGCCUUAAAAUUGCACAUAAAAUUCAGAAGAUCAAUGCAUCCUUGGUGGAUCUCAAGAGUGAGGCUCCUGUCAUUGGACUAGUUUCCAAGAAAAUAGAUGCUGCCCCUCAAGGAAUUAGAGGACGCAUACAAACCGACUCAUUUCCUGAAAAAGAUGGAAUCAUCGUUGGCAGGGAGGAGGUUGUCUCAAACAUAGUUACAACCUUGACCAACUCCAACAUCAAUCAAGAAAAUCUUGCUGUUAUGGUCAUUGUGGGAAUGGCAGGCCUAGGAAAGACAACUUUGGCCAAGUCUGUAUACAAUGAUAAUUCUAUAGAAGGGUAUUUUGAUAAAAAAGUAUGGGUGUGCGUAUCUGAUCCUUUUGACGUCAAAAUGAUUUUAAUUUCCAUGUUAGAAUCUCUUAGCAGAUCAAAUGUUCCAAGAGAAAGUCAGGAUGCACUGCUUAUACGCCUUCAAGAAGAGCUGAAGGGGAAAAAAUAUUUACUCGUUCUUGAUGAUGUUUGGGACUCUGAAAAAUGGAAUGAGUUGAUGAAUUGUUUGUUAAAGCUUGAAUCAGCUCAGGGAAGCACAAUUUUUGUCACUACCCGCAGUGCCCAAGUUGCAUUAAUCACAGAAACACUUCCGCGGCCUGAAUUGGAGCGUCUAUCAAGAGAUGAAUGCUGGUCCAUAUUGAAACAUGCAGCUUGCACAAAUGGUAGUUCUGAUAUUCUUCAUUUAGAGAGUAUUGGACGGGAGAUUGCUAAAAAAUGUGAUGGUCUACCAUUGAUGGCAAAGGUUUUGGGAGGCAUUUUGCGCUCUAAAAAGACUACUGCUGAAUGGUCUAAAGUCAAAGACAGUAGAAUAUGGGACUUACCAAAGGGAGAAGAUAGAAUCAUGUCAGUCUUGAAGUUGAGUUUCAGCGAUUUGGAAUCACUAGAACUGAAGCAAUGUUUUGCUUAUUGCUCAGUGUUCAUGAAAGAUGCCAUAAUGAAAAGAGACGACUUGAUUCAACUUUGGAUGGCUCAAGGAUUUCUCCCAGAAAAAACUAAUCUAGAGAUGGAGGAUAUAGGUAAUGAAUAUUUUGAUAUUCUAUUCCAAAGCUCCUUAUUUCAAGAGGCUAAAGUGGAUGAUGAUGGCAUUGUUAUUCAAUGCAAGAUGCACGAUCUCUUGCACGAUCUUGCAGAACGCGUAUCCGAAUCUGGAAGCAUGAUGCGAGGCUUCCCCAAGAUUCAAGAUGCUGCAACUCCCAGUAUUAUAGAAAGAAUUUCAGAAGGAAGUAGUGGGAAAUUGAGAUCACUGUUUUCGAAUGCUAGAGCACUACCUCGAAAUAUGUUGCCAUGGUUUAAAGCUUUACGUGUCUUAAAAUUAUAUGCGGCAAAUAUUGAGGAGCUCCCAAGUUCAAUUAGAAAGCUGAAACACUUGAGGUAUCUUGACAUUUCCCGAACAGGAAUCAAAAGUCUCCCAAAUUCUAUUGGCAAGCUAUAUAACCUACAGACAUUAAGAGCAACAUACUGCUUCAACCUUGAAGAAUUUCCAAAAGACGUGCAAAACUUGAUCAAGUUGAGAUAUGUUUAUUUCGAAGAGGAAACGAAAUUUCCAGCUGGGGUAUUAGGGAGAUUAACUAGCCUCCGAACAUUACCUCCCUUUAAUGUGGGUAAGGAGAUGGGCAGGGAAAUUGAAGAGCUGGCUGCCUUGAAUCAAUUGAAAGGUGAUCUAAUUAUUUAUAAUUUGGAACAGGUAAGCAAUGGAGAUGAAGCAAGGAAAGCUAAAUUAGAGGAGAAGAAAAAUGUACGGCACUUGAAAUUUAUAUGGUCUGCAUAUAUGUCAAUAACCAACAAUAAUAAUGAAGAUGUACUAGAAGGCCUCCAACCGCAUUCUAAGUUGGAAAGGCUAGAGAUUCAAUAUUUCAUGGGUUUCAAAUUUCCAUCAUGGUUGAUUAAGCUUGACAAUUUAAAGCAGAUUAAGCUUACGGGGUGCAGAAGAUGUGAAAAAGUCCCAACACUCGGCCAUCUACCUUGUCUUACAGUUGUUUGGAUUGAUUCAAUGAAUAAUCUAAAAUGUGUUGGAGCAGAGAUUUAUGGAACCGAUCUUGUUUAUGACGAGGCAACGGCAGGUAUAAGGGAAGUAGUUGUAUUUCCAGCACUGGAAGAAUUACACAUUUGUAAUUGCGAGGAGCUAAUAGAAUGGAUGGAAACAUCAGAACAAGUCACGGUGUUUCCUUGCCUAGAGGAGCUGGAUAUUUGGAAUUGUCCCAAAUUGAGAACGAUUCCCAGUCAUUUUCCAUCUCUGAAGAAGUUGAAGAUACAAGGUAAUGAGGAGCUUACAUGUCUGCCUAAAGGGAUGUUGUUAAAGAUAGAACGUAUGAAGAUAGGAGAGUGUAAGAAGUUAACUUGUAUUGCCCCUGAUGUCUUUGUUUGUUGUGCAUCUCUUCGAAAGUUGGCUGUAGAUAAUUGCCCUAGUUUACAAUCUAUUCCAGCUUUAAACCUCUUCACAUCCCUCCAUGAAUUGGACAUUGAAAAUUGUGAGAGAUUAGAAAGUUUGGUGAGUAGUGGGCCCGUCUCUGUUGUGGAGUUGCGUAUACGGAGUUGUGGUGGUCUACAAUCUAUUCCAACUUUAAACCUCUUCACAUCCCUCCAUAAAUUGGACAUUAACGGAUGUGAGAGAUUAGAAAGUUUGGUGAGUAGUGGGCUCGUCUCUGUUGUGAACUUUAAUAUAGAUCAUUGCAGUGGUCUACAAUCUAUUCCAGCUUUAAACCUCUUCACAUCCCUCCGUGAAUUGUACAUUAAGAAAUGUGGGAGAUUAGAAAGUUUGGUGAGUAGUGGGCCUGUCUUUGUUGUGCAGUUUAGAAUAACUGAAUGUGGGGGUCUACAAUCUAUUCCAGCUUUAAACCUCUUCACAUCCCUCCGUGAAUUGUACAUUGUCGAAUGUGAGAGAUUAGAAAGUUUGGUGAGUAGUGGGCCCGUCUCUGUUGUAGAGUUGCUGCGUAUAAGAGUUUGUAGUGGUCUACAAUCUAUUCCAACUUUAAACCUCUUCACAUCCCUCCGUGAAUUGGACAUUAACGGAUGUGAGAGAUUAGAAAGUUUGGUGAGUAGUGGCCUACAACUGCCCGCCUCUCUUGUGACGUUGGAAAUAACAAAUGCCCCUAAUUUAGAGAGUCUUCCAAGUUUAGACAACCUCACAUCUCUCUGUCAGUUGGUGAUUUUUAAUUGUGAGAAUUUAAAAUAUCUGCCCACAAGGCUACACUGCUGCUCUAGUUUGAAGACAUUGGAACUUGGUGGGUUCUGGGAGGAGCUCGAUUCCUUCCCUGAUUUCCAUCUUGGAACUGGUUCAUCACAACUUCAAAGCUUAGAGUUGAUUGGGUGGCCCAAGCUCAAGUCUCUGCCUCAACAAAUUCAACACUUCACUUCUUUAACAUCUUUGGAGAUACGCAAAUUCGAUGGAGUGGAUGCUCUUGAGGAUUGGGUGGGUAACCUUACAUCCCUUACGACGCUGUCGAUUUACUGGUGCAAGAAUCUCAUGUAUCUACCUAGUGUCACAACUAUGCAAUGCCUCACCAAAUUACAAACCCUAGACAUUUGGUUUUGUCCCCUUUUGGAGGAAAGAUGCACCAAGGACAGCGGCCCAGAAUGGCCCAAGAUUUCUCACAUUCCAAAUAUCGAAAGUAAUUUCUUCUUUCCUGAAGACAAAUUUCCUUUUCAUUCUUCACCUUUCGGUUUAACUCAAGUUUAUUCAUUCUGAAUCAUUUCUCAAAGGAAUAAGACUUGUUUAUCCUUCUCCUUUUUCUUGUCUGUUUUGGACUAGACAGCAGACAGAUUGACUCCACGCAUACAAUGAAUUCGUAAUAGCUUCAACUUUGAUAGUGAAGAAAUGUAAGGUUUUAAUCAGUAUUGGUUGUCUGCUUGAGUCUAACCACUUGUCACCACUUGUGGAUUCUUUAUCACCACUUGUUUAGAGGGCCUGAGGGGGUGGGUAGAGAGAGAGAGAGAUUGAUAUAUAGAGAGGAUUUAUUUGCAUUGUAACAACUUAAUUGAAACAGAACAAAGAAGAAGGAAAUGGAGGAAUGCUCUCUCUAUUGCACCAUGUAAUUUAUGCAAAUCUGCAGGACUUUUCACAUUUUCUUAGCAUAUUCAUCCUCUCCAAGGACAAAAAAUGAAGUGGAGUGGAGUUCGUUGUUUCUUUGAA